CAGAACUUCUGCUGCCAGUGUCCUUGUCCCCUCGGUGAAACAGAGCCACCCCCCGCCUCUGCAGGAGACCUUCCAACACUAGCAGCUCCUGGCAGUGAAUGGGAUCAUGUGACAGGUUCUGGCCAACAGACUGUGAGUAGAUGUGCCAGGAGUCACUUUGAUGGUCUUCCUCACCUGGCACAUCAACAGCAAGAGGCUUUAGCUCCACGGUGGAGCCACCAGAGAGAAACAGCCUGCGUCCCUGAGCCCCUGCUGAAAAUGAGAUGCCCUGGAGGACACUCAGAGCCACAGCGGACUUUGCUUACCUUGGAGACCUCUUUCAUUGUCAAGGUUGAAACCUUGGAGAGCUCGUCCUUUUUCAAGAUUUUCAACUCCAUGCCGACCUUUCCAGCUCUGUAGACCUCCAGGCCCACAUCCCCUCUCAGCACUUGUCCCUUAUCAGGAAACAUCAAAUGACAAGAGAGGUGACUCAAGCCAAGGAUUCCAGUGUCUGGUCCUAUUAGUGGAUGAACCAUAUUAUUGGAUGUACUGUAGCUCUGUGCAACCUUCAUUGAUGUUUGGAAUGAGGACCCUGAGAUACAUACCAUGCUGCAUCAUUGAGGAAGGAUCAGACAAGACAUCCACCAGUUUUUACAGGUGUUAUUUACAGUUGGGCACAUUCUUGCAGAGCCAACCCCGGGGGAUGCUGCUCUUUGAUCUGCUGCUUCACACACUGAUUUCAGAGAUUUUUGGUAAUUCAUCUUCACUCCUGAUUGCUAUAUGUUGGCCUAGUUUAUUGCUCCUGCCUGAUUCCCAGCAAUCCAUAAAGCACCCCCUUCGGGCUUCCCUGGUGGCGCAGUGGUUGAGAAUCUGCCUGCUAAUGCAGGGGACACGGGUUCAAGCCCUGGUCUGGGAAGAUCCCACAUGCCACGGAGCAGCUGGGCCCGUGAGCCACAACUACUGAGCCUGCGCGUCUGGAGCCUGUGCCCCGCAACGGGAGGGGCCGCGAUAGUGAAAGGCCGGCGCACCGUGAUGAAGAGCGGUCCCCGCACCGCGAUGAAGA